rnacentral:rRNA from 1 species
GACGAACGCUGGCGGCGUGCUUAACACAUGCAAGUCGAACGGCAAGGCCCUGCUUGUGUGGGGUUCUCGGUUGGCGAACGGGUGAGUAACACGUGUGUAACCUGCCCUUGACUUUGGUAUAACUUCAGGAAACUGGGGCUAAUACCGGAUAGGAUCUCCUGCUGCAUGGUGGGGGUUGGAAAUUUUAGGCUUUUGGGGAUGGACUCGCGGCUUAUCAGCUUGUUGGUGGGGUAGGGGCUUACCAAGGCUUUGACGGGUAGCCGGCCUGAGAGGGUGACCGGCCACAUUGGGACUGAGAUACGGACCAGACUCGUACGGGAGGCAGCAGUGGGGAAUAUUGCACAAUGGGAGGAAGCCUGAUGCAGAAACGCCGCGUGCGGGAUGACGGCCUUCGGGUUGUAAAACGCUUUAGCCUGUGACGCAGCGUGAGUGACGGUAAUGGGUAAAGAAGCACCGGCUAACUACGUG